AGUGAACGCUGGCGGUAGGCCUAACACAUGCAAGUCGAACGGCAGCACAGUAAGAGCUUGCUCUUACGGGUGGCGAGUGGCGGACGGGUGAGGAAUACAUCGGAAUCUACUUUUUCGUGGGGGAUAACGUAGGGAAACUUACGCUAAUACCGCAUACGACCUACGGGUGAAAGCAGGGGAUCUUCGGACCUUGCGCGAUUGAAUGAGCCGAUGUCGGAUUAGCUAGUUGGCGGGGUAAAGGCCCACCAAGGCGACGAUCCGUAGCUGGUCUGAGAGGAUGAUCAGCCACACUGGAACUGAGACACGGUCCAGACUCCUACGGGAGGCAGCAGUGGGGAAUAUUGGGCAAUGGGCGCAAGCCUGAUCCAGCCAUACCGCGUGGGUGAAGAAGGCCUUCGGGUUGUAAAGCCCUUUUGUUGGGAAAGAAAAGCAGCAGGUUAAUACCCCGCUGUUCUGACGGUACCCAAAGAAUAAGCACCGGCUAACCUCGUG
rnacentral:rRNA from 1 species